rnacentral:rRNA from 1 species
GCUUGCUUCUUGGGGUUGUAGGACACUCUAUACGGAGUUACAAAAGAAAGUUAUAAAUGAAGCGGUCUGGAAAGGCCCGCCAAAGACGGUAACAGCCCGGUAGUUGAAAUGGCUUUCCCUCCAGAGUGGAUCCUGAGUACGGCGGAACACGUGAAAUUCCGUCGGAAUCCGGGAGGACCAUCUCCCAAGGCUAAAUACUCCCUAGUGACCGAUAGUGAACCAGUACCGUGAGGGAAAGGUGAAAAGCACCCCGGAAGGGGAGUGAAACAGUUCCUGAAACCGUGUGCCUACAAGUAGUUAGAGCCCGUUAAUGGGUGAUAGCGUGCCUUUUGUAGAAUGAACCGGCGAGUUACGAUUUGUUGCAAGGUUAAGCGGAAAAAGCGGAGCCGUAGCGAAAGCGAGUCUGAAUAGGGCGCAUAAGUAACAGGUCGUAGACCCGAAACCAGGUGAUCUACCCAUGUCCAGGAUGAAGGUAAGGUAAUACUUACUGGAGGUCCGAACCCACGCACGUUGAAAAGUGCGGGGAUGAGGUGUGGGUAGCGGAGAAAUUCCAAUCGAACUUGGAGAUAGCUGGUUCUCUCCGAAAUAGCUUUAGGGCUAGCCUCGAGGUAAAGAGUCAUGGAGGUAGAGCACUGUUUGGACUAGGGGCCCUUCUCGGGUUACCGAAUUCAGAUAAACUCCGAAUGCCAUGUACUUAUACUCGGGAGUCAGACUGCGAGUGAUAAGAUCCGUAGUCGAAAGGGAAACAGCCCAGACCACCAGUUAAGGUCCCCAAAUAUAUGUUAAGUGGAAAAGGAUGUGGGGUUGCUUAGACAACCAGGAUGUUGGCUUAGAAGCAGCCACCAUUGAAAGAGUGCGUAAUAGCUCACUGGUCGAGUGACCCCGCGCCGAAAAUGUACCGGGGCUAAACAUAUUACCGAAACUGUGGAUGAACCUCUUUAGAGGUUCGUGGUAGGAGAGCGUUCUAAGGGCGGUGAAGUCAGACCGGAAGGACUGGUGGAGCGCUUAGAAGUGAGAAUGCCGGUAUGAGUAGCGAAAGAAGGGUGAGAAUCCCUUCCACCGAAUAUCUAAGGUUUCCUGAGGAAGGCUCGUCCGCUCAGGGUUAGUCGGGACCUAAGCCGAGGCCGAUAGGCGUAGGCGAUGGACAACAGGUAGAGAUUCCUGUACCAGUGCUAAUUGUUUAACCGAUGGGGUGACACAGAAGGAUAGGGAAUCGCACGAAUGGAAAUGUGCGUCCAAGCAGUGAGUGUGAGAAGUAGGCAAAUCCGCUUCUCGCGAAGCAUGAGCUGUGAUGGGGAAGGAAAUUAAGUACGGAAGUUCCUGAUUUCACGCUGUCAAGAAAAGCCUCUAGGAAGAGUAGUACUGCCCGUACCGCAAACCGACACAGGUAGAUGAGGAGAGAAUCCUAAGGUGAGCGAGAGAACUCUCGUUAAGGAACUCGGCAAAAUGACCCCGUAACUUCGGGAGAAGGGGUGCUCUAUUAGGGUGCAAGCCCGAGAGAGCCGCAGUGAAUAGGCCCAGGCGACUGUUUAGCAAAAACACAGGUCUCUGCAAAACCGUAAGGUGACGUAUAGGGGCUGACGCCUGCCCGGUGCUGGAAGGUUAAGAGGAGUGCUUAGCUUCGGCGAAGGUACGAAUUGAAGCCCCAGUAAACGGCGGCCGUAACUAUAACGGUCCUAAGGUAGCGAAAUUCCUUGUCGGGUAAGUUCCGACCCGCACGAAAGGCGCAACGAUCUGGGCACUGUCUCAACGAGAGACUCGGUGAAAUUAUAGUACCUGUGAAGAUGCAGGUUACCCGCGACAGGACGGAAAGACCCCGUGGAGCUUUACUGCAACCUGAUAUGGAAUGUUUGUACCGCUUGUACAGGAUAGGUAGGAGCCGAAGAGACGUGUGCGCUAGCAUACGAGGAGGCAAUGGUGGGAUACUACCCUGGCUGUAUGACCAUUCUA